CGGAGGGUGCAAGCGUUAUCCGGAUUCACUGGGUUUAAAGGGAGCGCAGGCGGACUGGUAAGUCAGUGGUGAAAUACCUGAGCUUAACUCGGGAACUGCCAUUGAUACUAUCAGUCUUGAAUGUUGUUGAGGUUUGCGGAAUGGGUCAUGUAGCGGUGAAAUGCAUAGAUAUGACCCGGAACACCUAUUGCGAAGGCAGCAGGCUAAACAAAUAUUGACGCUGAGGCUCGAAAGACGUGGGGAUCAAACAGGAUUAGAUACCCUGGUAGUCCACGCCCUAAACGAUGAUUACUCGACAUACGCGAUACACUGUGUGUGUCUGAGCGAAAAGCAUUAAGAAGUCCACCUGGGAAGUACGACGCAAGGUUG
rnacentral:rRNA from 1 species